GACUUUGUACAGUGGCAGUAUCGUAGCCAAUGAGGUAUAUCUAAGGCGCGAUUAUUGCUAAUUGAAAGAAUUUUUACAUGU
ensembl:snRNA U4 U4 spliceosomal RNA